CUUGGCGUCGAUGGAGGUGAAUAAGCCACAUUACACUUCCUUGGCAGUGGUUCUCCGCAAAGGAGUGGAUUUCCGAUGUAGCUACUCCAUUCAAAAGUUGCGAAUUGAGCUACUCUCUGAGGCGUCCUUCCACUCAAGUUAUUGUAGGACAGGUUGAAAACAGCCAAGGAGUAUAGCUCUGUAAGUUGAGAGGGGAUUUUCCCAUUGAGGUGGUUGUAGGACAGAUCCAAGCUUUCAAUGCUUUUCAAGUUUGAAAAUGUCACAGGGAUUGUACCGGUGAAGUUAUUGUGGGACAAGUUCAAC